GUGGGGAAUAUUGGGCAAUGGGGGAAACCCUGACCCAGCAACGCCGCGUGAGGGAAGAAGGUUUUCGGAUUGUAAACCUCUGUCCUUGGUGACGAAGGAAGUGACGGUAACCAAGGAGGAAGCCCCGGCUAACUACGUGCCAGCAGCCGCGGUAAUACGUAGGGGGCAAGCGUUGUCCGGAAUGACUGGGCGUAAAGGGCGUGUAGGCGGCCGAUUAAGUCUGGAGUGAAAGUCCUGCUUUCAAGGUGGGAAUUGCUUUGGAGACUGGUUGGCUUGAGUGCGGAAGAGGUAAGUGGAAUUCCCAGUGUAGCGGUGAAAUGCGUAGAGAUUGGGAGGAACACCAGUGGCGAAGGCGACUUACUGGGCCGUAACUGACGCUGAGGCGCGAAAGCGUGGGGAGCGAACAGGAUUAGAAACCCUAGUAGUCC
rnacentral:rRNA from 1 species